rnacentral:rRNA from 1 species
CAGCAUGUGUACUGCCGUUGUAAGCAUACCUUUAAAAGAGUAGUAUGCUACUAUGAUUAUAACUCACAUACAUCAGGUCAAAGUGCAGCCAAUGAAAAGGUGAUGAUGGGUUACAACCCCAAAACAGACUAUCAACUAAGAAAUUAAAAAUCUUACGAAAGUGGACUUGGCCGUAAUAAAUUCUAACUUAAAGAAAUGAAUAAUAUCUAAGACAUGUACACAUCGCCCGUCACUCUACCCUAAAGGUUAGAUAAGUCGUAACAAAGUAGGUGUAAUGGAAAUUGUACCUGUCGAAGUAUAGCAUAUAUAAUGCUUUUUACUUACACUAAAAAUAAAGUUACUAACUUACUUCGCCCAAAAUAAAAAUCUUAAAUAUAUUAAGUCAUUUGAAUAAUCAAAUCAACAACCGAACAGUACAGAAAUGGAAAUAACAAUAAAUAAUAGUAAUUUUUAAAAAAUGUACCUUGUGCAUUAUGAUUUUACAAGAAAAAAAUUAAAAUAUAAAUCCCGAAUUCUAAGUGAGAUGUUAAACUGCUGUCACGAACCCACUAAUAGCUGUGAAAAAAGCUUUAAAAGACAGAUUAACAGAGGCUACAUACCAUUCGCACAAGAAUAUAGCUGGUUUUCAAUAAACAUUAUAUAUUAAAACAUAUAGUAACGCUAUAGUGUAAUAUUAUUGAGGAUAAGCCCAAUAAUUAAUGCCAUAUAAAUAACAUUUCAGUAUCAUUCAUAGGCCUAAAACCAGCCAACCAAAUUACUUUACCGUAAAAUAAAAAGAUAAAAUAUAUACACAUGUUAUGCUAACAAUAAUUGAAAUAGUGGGAGAAUUAGCUAACCCACACAUAUAAUGUAAAAAUUAGUAUUAUUAUACAAAACCCACAUUAAUCUAGAAAAAGCAUCACACAAAUAACAAUAAUUAAUUAAGGAACUCGGCAAACUAUUAUUUCGACUGUUUAAC